rnacentral:rRNA from 1 species
UACGUAGGGACCGAGCGUUGUCCGGAAUCAUUGGGCGUAAAGAGCGUGUAGGCGGCUUGUUAAGUCUUGCGUGAAAUCUCGGGGCUCAACCCCGAGCGGUCGUGAGAAACUGGCAGGCUAGAGUGCGGGAGAGGAGAGUGGAAUUCCUGGUGUAGCGGUGAAAUGCGCAGAUAUCAGGAAGAACACGCGUGGCGAAGGCGGCUCUCUGGAACGCAACUGACGCUGAGACGCGAAAGCGUGGGGAGCAAACAGG